AAAAGAACUAAGGAGAGUUGAACCUACCGUGGACUGGAGAAUGAGAGCGAGAGACCAAGCACUCCAAGACAGUGACGACGGCCUCAAGUUGCAAGAAGAAUGAGUCGAGAGAGAAGAGAGGAGAGGAAUGAGCAGAGUGAGAAGUGUGAAGACUAACGAGACGACAGACGAGUCGCGCGGCGAGUGAGAAUCGAAUGACUAGCUGCUAUGUUCUCCAGAAUCGCGCGGCGAGCAAGUUUGGAGAAAGGGACUGAAGAAGUUAACGAGAUAUUUACCUAACCCUAAAUCUCAAGGCCAAAACGAUGUGUUUUAAUAAAUUUCGGUUCGGUUCGGUUCAACCGAACUUUUUGGUCA
rnacentral:misc_RNA from 1 species